ACACGAGCACGAAGAAGGACGGGACGGAUGCGCACUAACAACUAGUUAGUGCGCAUCCGUCCCGUCCUUCUUCGUGCUCGUGU
rnacentral:pre_miRNA from 1 species